UUGAUAGAUGUGUCAUCAUUUGUCCCCAAUAACUGGGGGGUUGUCGCCAACGGCGCUUCCGUAAUUGAGUUUGGUGCCCAUGUUGUCGUAGUUGGGUCGUUGUGGUUGAGUGAAUUGUGGACUGUAUGGUUGCCCGAAUUGGGACAUUGAAUCAGUUUGGAAACUAAGCAAUGAUUAUUGGGGUGUACUAUAGUCAAACAAUGGUUGGAUGUUGUGGUGAUGAGAUUUUUGGGUGUUCAUUGGUGGGGGGCUACGAUGGCAUGACGUUGAAUCAUAUGAAUCAUCUGGGCUAUAGACUGUUGUGGUGGCUGCGUAUGGUUGUUGGUGGUUAGGGUUUAAUUCUUGGUUUUGAGUUUGGGUGUGUGGCAUGAAUUUGUUGCGAGGUUGAGUGUUUGGUUGUUAGGUGUAUAUGGUAGGAUGAUGAUGUGAGGUUGUUCGUUGGGUUUUGGUGGGUUGACAUUGUUCUUGGACGGGGAUUUGUUGUUGGACGUAUGAUGAUGAAUCUCGUUGGCAUGGAUCAAUCAAAUACCUUGACUCUGACACAAAUUGUGGCGUUAUAACCGACCUAAAUCAUGUCAUAUAAUGUUGAGUUGGUCUAGCAUCUUGUAUGACUGUUUUGUUUAAGAUGUGUUAUCGUCGAUUCCUCCAAUGAUGAAACGUCUCUUUUGCGAAGUCUCUCCAGUCGAAAUAAUCCCAUUGGACAUCGACUCUUUGUUGAUGCCAAUCUCCCAAACACGUCGGAGGUUCUGGAAUUUUUUGUUGCAUACCGAACUGCAGUUUUACACGGUUACUCUGGUGCAUCUCCACAGUAGUGAACCAAAUAAUUGGUGUUUUUGCUGUCCAAACUGCAGUAUCAUCAUGGUUAACCUGAUGAUCAAGACCCAUAUAUGGCAUCCAGAUAAAUUGUACAAGAAUAUGACAUGAUUAGAUGAUAUGUAAUUGGAUUUUUUUAAAAAAAAUUAAAUGUAGAGUUGUGUAAUAGUAUUACAUUGUGUGGUCCAAUGUGGUCUAAUAGAUAGCGAUAGACUACAGUGUGUUUCAGACACCUGUUGUUAUUCAUCCCUUUAACUAACCACCUAGAUCAAAAAGAUUUGAAAAAUAGUAUUUACAGUUAGUUGUAAUAUAAAGUCUAAUAAAUUAGAUGGUAAAAUUUUAAACUUACUUUGUUGCAAAGAGAAAUAUGAAUAGUUUCUCGUUUACCGGGGCGAGUGACAACAUUCUUGACCAACCCCAUGCUUAUAGCAAAUACGCGCAUGAAUAAAACGUACAAGUGUGUUUUUUGGCAUUUUUACACAACGCAC
rnacentral:lncRNA from 1 species